rnacentral:rRNA from 1 species
UACAGAGACCUCAAGCGUUAUCCGGAAUCAUUGGGCGUAAAGCGUGCCGAUAGGUGGUUUUAUUAGUCUUAGGUAAACGCCAGAAGCUCAACUUCUGAGUUUGCUUAAGAUACUGUAAGACUAGAGGGGCAAAGAGGUGCUUGGAACGAAUGGUGUAGUAGUGAAAUGCGUUGAUAUCAUUCGGAACACCGAAAGCGAAGGCAGAGCACUGGGUGCCACCUGACACUGCUAGGACGAAAGCGUGGGUAGCGAAUGGG